UAUUUUUGUUAUGUUUUCCCUGUGGGGGUGUACACUGAAAGCACAAGCAUUUAAAGCUCUUGACAACUACUUUGAAGAGACAGAAGGUUUUUGAUUUUCCUGUUUUGUUUUUUUUCUUUCGCUUUUUUUUUCACUUUAAUUUGGUUUUAUCACAUCUCCCCUCCUUCUCUUUCUCUUUGGAAACAUAAAAAGUGGAUUUAAUAUUUUUUUUAAUAGUGAGCAGAGUUGAUUUUCUUGUCUUUUAAUAUAUAUAUAUCAGCAAACCACAAAAAUACAGAUGGGUUGGAGAACAGAAAGUAAACCCAAAUAGUUUUUUUUAAUUAUUAUUAUUAUUUAUAUAUUCUAUGUAUUAUUAGAAAAAACUACUUUUAAAUAAAAAAAUAGAAAAAAAACCAACAAAAAAGCAAUGGAUGUCUACUUGGUAAUAGAACUGUUUCUAGAGAACCACUGUGGGCGGACUCUAUCAGGGGACAAGGAAACCCUUGAUGUGAUGGCAUCUGUGUCUUGAGAUUUUGCACUUACUGUAGCAUGGGAAGUCUGGCUCUUCUCAUACAUCUGCUACGCUACAGCCUGAAAAUACAAGCAGCACCAUCAAAGACCAUGGCCUUGGGGAACACAUUUCCAUCUCCUUUGGACACCUUUACACUCAAUAAAUCUCCUUUCUGCAUCCCUUCAUGUCUUCCCCACACCGUUCCACUUUUUUUUUCUUUUCCUUCACCUUUCACUUGAUGGACAACAAUUUCCAAGCAUAGAGAUGGAAUAUGAAUGGCAAGUCAUAGACAUCACAGAAAAAACAAAAGGAGGAGCAGAAUCCUGGAAAAAAUGACAUGGAAAAAUACCUCACCUAUUCUUUUCUUUCAAUUUUUAAAUUUCAAUUCACAGCAUUUUUUCCUGUGUUGCCCUGUUUUUUCUCUCUGUAGUGUCUCACAAGACACUUUAUUUGCUUUUUAAUGGCUUCUUUUGAAAUAAACCAAAGCAAUACUAAUUAAAGUUCCAAGGGCAAUGGAGAAGAGAGUGACUCCCAUCCCAGCGACUUUCCCAGAAAGGAGGAAACAUGCAGCAGGAUUUGAAAGUCAGCCCUGCCCUCGUGGAUUCCAGCAGCCUUCAAGCAAAACAUUUCAGAAGAAGAACGAGAAAAGCCAGGAUGCUUUGAUACUUCUUUCGUUGUCCUGAGUCGUCUGUACCUGAGUUCCAUCUGGCACAGGAGUCUGGACUGUGGGAAGUUGGCUGCCAACUGUUGAGAGAAGUUCUGGGGAUGCCCUAAGCUGGUGCAAUACAAAGAAGUUUUUUGAAGUCUUGAUUUCACUUUCUUUUAAGUGUAUGUAUAAACCCAGGUCAGACUGGAAUUGAUCUACAGUAGAACUGACUGAAAAACAAACAAACUGAAAAAGACAACUAUUUUAUUUAUUUCGAUAUUUAAGAAAGAAGUGCUGAAGUUGCACAGUAUUUUUGUUUGAAAUACAUUUUACUUCAAAUUUUAAAUGCAAUUUUGUGAAGACAUGAAAUUUUAAAAAGCACUUACUGUAAAAUAAAGACUGAAUAUUUACUUUAAGGAAAAAACUUUUUGAAAUAAUGAAAAUAAAGGUCAACUCUGCUCUCUCUCUUACUUUAAAGAAGCCAUUCGUACAUGUGCUGGGUAUCUUUGUUUUUUGAAAAUUGGAUGUGGUAAGUGAAGAUUGUUCUGAUUUAUUUUCUUUUUAAUAAUAUUAUGCUGUUAGAUGCUUAAAACCUACUUUGCUGUACUGUGUUAGGCACAAAAACUGUUGGAGUAGUGAAGACCAGGCUCAGUGGUUGAAUUUCUUUCUUACCAGAUUUGUGUCCAUUUCAAAGGACUGUCCUCCCGGUAGGAUUGAUCUGUCUCUUCUGCAUGGCAAAAGAGGUUUGCCCUUGAGCAACUCUGUGAAAUACUUCUGCUGAAAGAGGGCUUUAAGAAUUGAAAACAACUCUGAUCAUUUUUGUAUUAUUUUUUGCUUUGGUAAUUCCACAGCCGAUUUUGAGUUGGUUGUAAGGGAAGUAUCUAAAUGUUAGGUGCCCUUGGCAUGGAUCUUGCUGUCAAGGAUGAUGUCAUAUGUAGAAAACUUGUGUAUUUCAGCCUUUUCUGAACUGGUAGUGGACUUUGAAAAGCAUACAGGUGCAACCACAUGUCUGCAAUAAGCGACAGGGGUUACUAUGCAGGAGAAAAAUAUGAGUUCCCACAGCUGCAAUCCUAAGUUGUCCUGUGAGGCAGCAGGGAGGGAUGAUCACAUCCCAAAUUCUGAAUCAUUAGGCAUUGUCCCAGUGAAAAAGGAGGGUUUUGUUGGCAAGAUCUGCUUGCAGUGGAUAGCACAGGUCUGCUCAAUGUCUUUUGUGAUGAGGUCUAGGAGAGAUGCAGGAUAGCCUUGUGUCCUAGGAGAAGAGUACUGGACUUGGCUCUGUCUGGCAGCCCUGUUACAGAGUAGAAGCAAACUGAGGGCAAAGCACACCAACAAUUAUUGGGAUUGACCCUCAGGGUUUAGGCAGACAAAAAGUGGUUUUGUUAAUGUGGCUAACGUUGUCUUUCAGAAUGGAAAAACUAUGUCUACAAAAAUGCAUGCUGACUAGGUGAAGCUGACAGAAAACCUGAUACUGUCUUGUGUUUCCUGCACAUCUAGAACACAAACUCACCUCAUUGAGAGGUUUCCAUGUAUCAGCAGCAGCAGAUUUUUUUAGUCUUCUCCCUUUCCCUUUUCCCACUUCUUCCCAAAUUAAAACAUAAAGUCAAAAAUAACCAUGUAAGGUAGUCCUGCUCAAACUGAAUUAAAUGACAGUUUGUGUCCUAAUUGGGCUCUUUAGCAGGAUGGGUUUGCUUUGCUCAUGUUGAUUUCUAAACAUCCAGUGGGGAACUGCCUC